rnacentral:lncRNA from 1 species
GCCACGCCCCCUUUCUGGAAAGGAUCCGCGGCGGCUGCAGCUGCCAAGGUCCCCGAGGGCGCUCGCGGCAGGGGAGGAUCAAGGAAAGACUUGUUUAUUAUAGGGUUGCAUUGCUGGAGGAGGGGACAGCCCGUGACCAGGCUAGGAGGAGAGGCAGGGAAGCGUGAGGGGGCGGCGGGCAAGGAAAAUGGUUGCCCCCAGCGUCUUGGAUCCUAAAGCUUCGGGAACAACUGGGCACACACGGGGGGGAUGCCCGUGGGACGGCGGCGCAGGAGCAGACGUUAGCCCGGCCUGCCCUCGCGCCCUUACCCCCUCUAUCCCUGCUUUGCAAAGGCUCGGGAUAUGGGGGUGGGGUCCACAGACUGGGAAGCUCCGGGCACCAUGCUGCCCCUUCCCCAAGGCCCCACCUGCCCAUCCUGGCUGUUACUCUACAGCCCAGGACAUAGGUUAAUGGGGAUCCCUGCCUCCUCCCAAACCCUAUCUGCUUCCACUUCCAACUGCUCCCAAGGAGAGGGCUUGAGGAGAGUGGUUAGAGGAGUGUGGAUGGGCCCGGGUUCAUAGCGCCCAGUGCAGGGAUGGAAGCGAGGAUUCACAGCAGUCGGACUCACAGACCCAUCCGCCCUCCCCGCGGACUGCAGGCAGCGCAGCCGGACCUCCCUGCCCGGGCGCCCCCCGGGUCCUAGCACCCAGCGCUCGCCUAGCGCUUUGUGUAAAAGAUCCAGACGGUUGCAUCAGGACCGAGGACCGAGAUCUCUGGAAAAGCCAGGGAGUGCAAUGGCCAUCCCGUGUUUCAUCAUUCAGGCGGGGCCACAGGAAAUCUGGCCUGGCAGCAGUGCUCAGAGGCUAACAGUGGUUGCUGAGGGUGGGAGACCCACUUAUGGAGACAAAUUUAUGGAUUAAAAAAAGAAAUCAGGGGAUCCAGGAGACAUCUUAAAGACAGCUGCAGAAUGGAAUAGUUUGUGAGCCACUGGGACUUUCAAGGCCUUCUCUUCCCAUUCUUCAAGCUCUGUCGCUUGUUGGAGCCUUAAAGACACCAGAUUGCUUAACAAUGGGGAUAUAAAAAUUAAAAAUAAUAAAAGACACUGGAUCAAGGCGGCUAGUUGUUCUUGGAGGGCUGGAGUAGAUGACAUACUCUUGAAAUCACUCUUACAGAGGUGACCUGCAUGGGUGUGUCUUCCUGCUGGCCAGAGAGAAGAUCUGAAUUAAUCCAUCAGGAACAUUCACAUUUCCUCCAGGCUGAUUUGGGCGGGACACCUAAACACCCUAAGGAAACAAGAGUUACGAUGUUUUUUCUUCUUCUUCUUCUUUUUUUUUUUUUUUUUGAGAUGGGGUCUCACUCUUUCACCCAGGCUGGAGUGCAGUGGUGCGAUCUUGGCUCACUGCAAGCUCCGCCUCCCGGGUUCACACCAUUCUCCUACCUCAGCCUCCCGAGAAGCUGGAACUGCAGGUGCCCACCACCACGUCCGGCUAAUCUUUUGUAUUUUUAAUAGAGAGAGGGUUUCACCGUGUUAGCCAGGAUGGUCUCGAUCUCCUGACCUCGUGAUCCGCCUGCCUCGGCCUCCCAAAGUGCUAGGAUUACAGGCGUGAGCCACCGCGCCCGGCCUAAUUUUUGUAUUUUUAGUAGAGAGACGGUUUCACCAUGUUGGCCAAGCUGGUCUCAAAUUCCUGAACUCAGGUGAUCCACCAGCCUGGGCCUCCCAAAGUGCUGGGAUUACAGGCGUGAGCCACCACGCCUGGCCUUUUUUUUUUUUUUUUUGGACAGAAAAAAAAUUCAGGAAAAUGUGGAACACUGACCUAAAGAAAGCACAGGCUUUUUUUUUUUUUCCUUUUAAGUAGAUAUUCAUAAGGAAAAGAAUCCGGGUCCGGUUUGGAAAGGUCAGUUAUUAGGAAUCAUUUAUUCAUUCAACAAACACCAUCAAGACUGCCCAACAGUGUUCCAAGCACCUUUUUUUCAUUCACUGUCUCCUUCUGUUAAUAAAACAACUUGUCUCAAA